rnacentral:rRNA from 1 species
UCGACGAGUUUGAUCCUGGCUCAGAUUGAACGCUGGCGGAAUGCUUUACACAUGCAAGUCGAACGGUAGAGGGGGCAACCCCUUGAGAGUGGCGAACGGGUGAGUAAUAUAUCGGAACGUGCCCAGUCGUGGGGGAUAACGUAGUGAAAUUACGCUAAUACCGCAUACGAUCUAAGGAUGAAAGCGGGGGAUCGCAAGACCUCGCGCGACUUGGAGCGGCCGAUAUCAGAUUAGGUAGUUGGUAGGGUAAAGGCCUACCAAGCCAACGAUCUGUAGCUGGUCUGAGAGGACGAC